rnacentral:rRNA from 1 species
UACGAAGGGGGCGAGCGUUUGUUCGGAGUUACUGGGCGUAAAGGGUGUGUAGGCGGUUGUUUAAGUUUGGUGUGAAAUCUCCCGGCUCAACUGGGAGGGUGCGCCGAAUACUGAAUGACUUGGAGUGCGGGAGAGGAAAGUGGAAUUCCUGGUGUAGCGGUGAAAUGCGUAGAUAUCGGGAGGAACACCAGUGGCGAAGGCGGCGACCUGGGCCAAUACUGACGCUGAGGUGCGAAAGCGUGGGGAGCAAACAGG